ACCGAGUGCCUACUAUCAACAGCUGUGGUGAAGAGGGGUUUUGUGUUGGAGGGGAGAGCCAUCAAAAGUGGCCACACAUUAAGGGAGGUGGAAGAGUACUGGAAUAAAGUAAUCUGAGGAGAAACUGAGGCCUGAGCACUGAAACCUUCAGAUCUAAAUAGCAACUGGAAAAAAUGUUGCUGCACCAACUGCUAAAAUGACAGCCACUGGGAGAUCUACUCUAAGGAUAACAGAAUUUUAAAAGUAAAAUUCUGAAUGAAUUGCAAGCUAUCUUUCAGAUACAGAUGUCAUCAGAAUUACCCCCAUUUAAGAAAUAUGGUGGCCUAUUAUUUAAGCACUAGAACCUAUCUGCAAACAUGAGGGUCACUUUCUAAAACAGUAUAGCAUCUGCUCACCUUGUAUAUCCUGACCAGCCAAUGUUCUGUGGUAUAUGCUUCCUCCAGGACAUCAAGUUCAAAGUCUUUAUUACCAAUCUCAGCAUUUCGGACACGGUCAAAGCCUGGUGGGCGUUCUAGAAAGGGACAAAAAAGAAUACAGUAUAUCUUCUACUACUUAGAUUGUUAUUACUCAGGCUGCAGUUUGAUUAGACACUAGAGUCUGCAAAAAAAGAGCAUCAGGUAGUAAGAGCAAAUCAAGGUUACCCUGUUCAAGUUGAUGUAUUGCCAGAAUCCAUGGAGCUUAUUUUUUCUAAGAGAUAGGGGCUGACUUCCAAGCCCUUCUUUUUCUGAGAAAUAUCAGAAGCCUCUGUAACACACUACUAACCCUUCCAUGGAUCAGAAAAUCUAUCAGAAACCAAGGACCUGCAUGUACUUCAGAAAUUCUUUCAACAUCCAAACCAUGAAAUUCAAGACCAAAGGAAAGACAACCUCAUUAAAUUCUUCUCAGUGUAUUCAUCUGAAGAAAUGAAGUCUUCUGUCUGUCUAUCCCUAUAUUCCUUUCCUCAGCAACAUUCUUUACUGAGACACAACAAAAGAUAUCUGAAAGCACAGAAUCUGGCGCUAUACUGCCUGAGUUUGAAUCCGGACCCUACCUCUUAGUCAUGUGAAGUUGGCCAGUUUAGUAACCUACUGGCACCUCAAUUGACUCAAAAUGAAAUAACAAUAUUAGCAUCUACUUUCUGAAUCACUGUGAGGAUUAAAUGAGUUAACAGAUAUAAAGCAUUUAGAACAAAGCCUAAAAAACAAGGUUGCUAGCUAUUUCUGUUACUGCGAUUAUUGUUAAUGCUGUGAAUCACUCACUGGCUUCUGUGUAGACCUGCCCAAAGCGGUAGUAACACAUCUUGUACAUAAGGCAGUUGAGCAGCACUGGAGAACCCUCACGGUCCACACGGAAUUCCCCAGUUGGAGUAUAAUAGUCAUUCUCCUUGAUAUGUUUGCCUGUGUCUGUGCUCCCUCCGAUCCGAACCAUCCAAAGAAACUUGUUGAUAUCUAGAGAAAAAAAACAAAAGAAACUGCUGCAUCAAAAAGGUUGCUAGAGCUAAAUAACCAAAUGAAAAAGCUAUGUAAGGAAAUUUCCCAUAUUUUUCUAAUAGGGAAUGAUACCAUCCAUUCAACUCUAUAUUAAAAACAGGAAAGACAAUGUGUGAAUAAAAUAUUUUUCCUCAAAAUAUAUAAUUUUUCUCAGAAAUUAUUAGACUCCUGAAAUCCUAUGCUAUUGAUCCAGUCUUAUGCCACAACUGAAACUAUUCUUACAUAUUAGCUGGGGACUGAGCUAUUGAAUAUAGGAGCCACUAGCCAGAUGACACUAAUUAAGAACUUGAAAUGUGGCUAAUACAAAUUAAAGGAUGCUAUAAAAACAAAAUACA